rnacentral:rRNA from 1 species
GACGAACGCUGGCGGCGUGCUUAACACAUGCAAGUCGAACGGAAAGGCCCUGCUUUUGUGGGGUGCUCGAGUGGCGAACGGGUGAGUAACACGUGAGUAACCUGCCCUUGACUUUGGGAUAACUUCAGGAAACUGGGGCUAAUACCGGAUAGGAGCUCCUGCUGCAUGGUGGGGGUUGGAAAGUUUCGGCGGUUGGGGAUGGACUCGCGGCUUAUCAGCUUGUUGGUGGGGUAGUGGCUUACCAAGGCUUUGACGGGUAGCCGGCCUGAGAGGGUGACCGGCCACAUUGGGACUGAGAUACGGCCCAGACUCCUACGGGAGGCAGCAGUGGGGAAUAGUGCACAAUGGGCGGAAGCCUGAUGCAGCAACGCCGCGUGCGGGAUGACGGCCCUCGGGUUGUAAACCGCUUUCGCCUGUGACGAAGCGUGAGUGACGGUAAUGGGUAAAGAAGCACCGGCUAACUACGUG